CUUUCUUAGAGGGGACUAUCGGGUGUUUUAMCCGAUGGAAAGUUUGAGGNCAAUAMCAGGUCUGUGAUGCCCUUAGAUGUUCUGGGCCNGCACGCGCGCUACACUGAUGAAGUCAACGAGUUUAUUUCCUUUAUCGAAAGAUAUGGGUAAUCUUUUGAAACUUCAUCGUGCUGGGGAUAGAGCAUUGCAAUUAUUGCUCUUCAACGAGGUAUCCCUAGUAAGCACAAGUCAUCAGCUUGUGUUGAUUACGUCCCUGCCCUUUGUACACACCGCCCGUCGCUACUACCGAUUGAAUGGCUUAGWGAG
rnacentral:rRNA from 1 species